UUAUUAUGAAAAUCAUACAAAACAGUUAAAUCCAUCAGGACAGCUCAAAGGACCACACAAUUCGUCCAUCUAUACUAUUAAAACAGAAUACUAUUGUCUUUUUUACCUUAGCAUGCCCUUUCUUUACUAAUAUUGCAUGUUUCAUUAAGGGCAAUCAAGUAAUAUUAAUAACACAUCUAUAUUGGGCCAUUUUUUUCGGAUCCAGCCCACUGUCCACAUCAGAUCUCUCUUGGGUCAUUUGGGCCGAUUAAGAAAUCAGAUCCAAUUCUCACAUUUUUUUUUUCCUUCAGGCCAUUGAGUCCAAGUUCAAAUAAUUUUCUUUCAACCAUUCUUAAUUAUUUUUUUUUUCUUAAUAUAAUUUAAGCAUUCAUAAAAAAAAUUGAUUUUUUCAUUGAAAAGUAUAAAUCUUUGUUAAAAGUAUAUAAUUAUUUUUAUUAAAAAUAUUAACCACAUAAUAAAAUUAAUUUAUCAGAGUUAUACCAACUUAAUUCAUUAAAAAUAA
rnacentral:lncRNA from 1 species